rnacentral:rRNA from 1 species
GAUGAACGCUAGCUAUAGGCUUAACACAUGCAAGUCGAGGGGAAACGGCAUGGGAUGCUUGCAUCUUAUGGACGUCGACCGGCGUACGGGUGAGUAACGCGUAUCCAACCUGCCCGCGAGUAGGGGAUAACCCGCAGAAAUGCGGACUAAUACCCUAUAUAGUCCAAAGAUGCCAUCAGAUUUGGACGAAAGAUUUAUCACUGACAGAUGGACAUGCGUCCCAUUAGCUGGUUGGUAGGGUAACGGCCUACCAAGGCAACGAUGGGUAGGGGAACUGAGAGGUUUAUCCCCCACAUUGGUACUGAGACACGGACCAA